AACGCCGCAUGCCCCCUCACCACCACCUCCUUCUUCUCCAACUCCAACUCCAAAGUCCAAUUCCCCCUGCUCGCCCAACCCCCAUUUCCCCCAAUCCGAUUCCUGCUCCCACCCACCGCGCUCCCCCAAUGGUGACGCCGGCCGCCUCCUUCUCCGCCGCGCUCGCCGUCGAGGACUUCCCGUGGGUCGACAGGCAGGAGGAGAUGGGGAUGGCACCGGACAAGUACCGCGAGGUGUUCGACCUCGCGCAGCGCGGCGCCCGCGCCUUCCGGGAGCGCCGCUACGACGAGGCCAUUUCCUUCUAUUCUAAAGCUCAAAACUUGAGAUCGGGAGAUCCUGUUAUCCUUAGCAAUCGAUGUUCUGCUUUCUGUUUGAUAAGUCAAGUGUUGAGGGAAAGAUCCGCAGCUGACUCAGAGUAUCAGCCACUGAAUGGCCUUGAUCCCACAACUCAUGCAGAGUUAGCUCUGAAGGAUGCAGAGAAGGUAUUAACUAUCCACAGUAAUUCUCCGAAAGCAUAUCUUCUCAAGGCAUAUGCCCUUAUUCUGCUGGAGCGAUAUCACGAGGCACGCGAGUCCCUUCUUGCUGGUCUUCAAAUCGAUCCCCUCAGCCAUAUUUUACAGACCUGUCUCAGUGAUCUGGAUAGAAAUACAAAUGCUGCCGCUGGAGCAAGACGGCCAAGGUUAGAUAGGACUGAUGAUUUUGAGUGCACAUUGUGUUUUAAGCUAUUGUUUGAACCAGUCACCACUCCAUGUGGGCACUCGUUUUGCCGCUCUUGUUUGCAUCAAUCAAUGGAUCACGGCAACAAGUGCCCCAUGUGUCGGACAGUUCUAUUUAUUGGUCCAAGAACUUAUCCUAUAAGUGUAACAUUGAACAACGUAAUUCAGAGAAACUUCCCUGAAGAAUAUGCUGAGAGGAGAUCAGAGCAUGAAACUACAACAUAUGCAGGCGUGGAUUUGAUGCCUCUCUUUGUUAUGGAUGUCGUAUUACCCUGCCAAAAGAUGGCAUUGAACAUAUUUGAACCUCGCUACAGGCUGAUGGUAAGGAGGGUAAUGGAAGGGAAUCAUCGAAUGGGAAUGGUUGCUAUUGAUUCUGCGACUGGUACUGUAGCUGACUGUGGAUGUGAGGUGGAAAUUCUAGAGUGUGAGCCACUUCCAGAUGGCCGUUUUUAUCUAGAGGUGGAAGGUUCACGGAGGUUUCGUAUCUUGCGAUCAUGGGAUGAAGAUGGGUACCGAGUUGCUGAAAUUGAAUGGUUCAAAGAUGUUUCUCUACCUGAAGGAUCACAAGAGAGAAAAGAUCUAAUCGAAAGGACCAAUGAAGCUUCAGAACUGGCCAGGACGUACAUUAGGCGUGCUAGAGAAACCACAAGGACUGGCGGACAAGACAUUUUGAUCUCGAGAGCAUGCCUGGACCACAGGACCCUGAAAAGUUCAGUUUCUGGCUUGUCAACUUGAUUAAUUUGAGGCCAUCAGACAAGUUAGACCUAUUACGCCUCCGUGAUACUCGAGAACGAAUAUCUCGUAGCCUUAGAUUAUUGGGUGAUGCAGAACAAGGUUGUCGUGUACAGUAAAAGAUUAUAUUUGUCACACAAGCAUUAUAGCUUAGAGUCAAUUUAUUCAUCAGGAGAAACAUUGACUAACGAUGUAGAUUUGUAAUAUUCUUUUACGUAAUAUGCUACUAUUGAAAUUUUACGAUUUUGUA